CUACUUUGCUGACGAGCGGCGGACGGGUGAGUAAUGCUUGGGAACAUGCCUUGAGGUGGGGGACAACAGUUGGAAACGACUGCUAAUACCGCAUAAUGUCUACGGACCAAAGGGGGCUUCGGCUCUCGCCUUUAGAUUGGCCCAAGUGGGAUUAGCUAGUUGGUGAGGUAAUGGCUCACCAAGGCGACGAUCCCUAGCUGGUUUGAGAGGAUGAUCAGCCACACUGGGACUGAGACACGGCCCAGACUCCUACGGGAGGCAGCAGUGGGGAAUAUUGCACAAUGGGCGCAAGCCUGAUGCAGCCAUGCCGCGUGUGUGAAGAAGGCCUUCGGGUUGUAAAGCACUUUCAGUCAGGAGGAAAGGUUAGUAGUUAAUACCUGCUAGCUGUGACGUUACUGACAGAAGAAGCACCGGCUAACUCCGUGCCAGCAGCCGCGGUAAUACGGAGGGUGCGAGCGUUAAUCGGAAUUACUGGGCGUAAAGCGUACGCAGGCGGUUUGUUAAGCGAGAUGUGAAAGCCCCGGGCUCAACCUGGGAACUGCAUUUCGAACUGGCAAACUAGAGUGUGAUAGAGGGUGGUAGAAUUUCAGGUGUAGCGGUGAAAUGCGUAGAGAUCUGAAGGAAUACCGAUGGCGAAGGCAGCCACCUGGGUCAACACUGACGCUCAUGUACGAAAGCGUGGGGAGCAAACGGGAUUAGAUACCCCGGUAGUCCACGCCGUAAACGAUGUCUACUAGAAGCUCGGAGCCUCGGUUCUGUUUUUCAAAGCUAACGCAUUAAGUAGACCGCCUGGGGAGUACGGCCGCAAGGUUAAAACUCAAAUGAAUUGACGGGGGCCCGCACAAGCGGUGGAGCAUGUGGUUUAAUUCGAUGCAACGCGAAAAACCUUACCUACACUUGACAUACAGAGAACUUACCA
rnacentral:rRNA from 2 species